rnacentral:rRNA from 1 species
GACGAACCGUGCGAACGUUGUUCGGAAUCACUGGGCUUAAAGGGCGCGUAGGCGGCAGAUCAAGUCCGGGGUGAAAUCCUCCAGCUCAACUGGAGAAGUGCCUUGGAUACUGAUUUGCUCGAGGGAGGUAGGGGCCCGCGGAACUUCUGGUGGAGCGGUGAAAUGCGUUGAUAUCAGAAGGAACGCCGGUGGCGAAAGCGGCGGGCUGGAUCUCUACUGACGCUGAGGCGCGAAAGCUAGGGGAGCAAACGGGAUUAGAUACCCCGGUAGUCCUAGCCCUAAACGAUGAGUACUAGCUUGUGGACUAGUCAUGGGUUCACAGGCGAAGCAAAAGUUUUAAGUACUCCGCCUGGGGAGUAUGGUCGCAAGGCUGAA